rnacentral:rRNA from 1 species
UACGAAGGGGGCUAGCGUUGCUCGGAAUUACUGGGCGUAAAGGGCGCGUAGGCGGGCGGUCAAGUCCGGGGUGAAAUCUUCCGGCCCAACCGGAAAAUAGCCCGGGAUACUGGCCGCCUCGAGGGGGGUAGGGGCAUGCGGAACUUCCGGUGGAGCGGUGAAAUGCGUAGAUAUCGGAAGGAACGCCGGCGGCGAAAGCGGCGUGCUGGACCCCCCCUGACGCUGAGGCGCGAAAGCCAGGGGAGCAAACGGG